CUGCAUUACCUAUUGUUGUGUCAUCUUGCACUAACAGAGCUGACCAACCGAAGAUCAGAUUUGCAAACGACGACGCAAUGCUCUCUCUAAUGCUGAAGCUGAAAAGCGAUCCGAGUCUCUUCAAUCAGGCAAGAUUUUUCUUGGAACAGGACACUUAUGUCUUGGACUUUUUGAAAACGUACCCUGCAAAACACAUUAAUUUGGGAAUAUUUUUCAGGUUAAGCAUAUGGCCUUGAACUAGAACUAUAAAUAUUAUGUUGUAGAAAGUCAUUUAGCAUUAAUAGCCAUGUCACUUAUGUUUCUUGUCAUUACUCUUGGUGGUGUAAGGGAUGUGGUGUAACUAUUCGGCAUUGACAUGCUACUCAAAACUAGAUGAUAAGUGUCGGGCCGCUUUUUUAUACUUCUCGAGUCUUCUACUUAUGUCCUAUAUCUGACUAUACAGGUGAGACGGUUAAGCUUGUGUGAAAAGACAGGAAGACAAUGAAAGAGAUCUACAUAGAUAUAGCUGUAUCAAACAAGUAUGGAAAGUACAAGUUCGUUGCCCAUGAAGACCAUAAAUACGAGAUUUGUGAUGUUAUGCUUCUCAAAACUUCAGACAAUGGCUGUUCUAAAUUUUCUCAAGGACGCUAACAGUCACAUGUGAUAUUGAACUCUUACAAUGGUAUUGCGUCGCAGAUUAGGCACACUAACAACAUGGUGUUUGAAAAAGAUGUUACUGAUGUAUUUUUCUCUGAGUUUAUUCAGUAUCAGGCUGAUGAAGAUGGCGUUUAAGAUUAGUAUACCGGUUUCUUAUCAAUGAAAGGUUGUGGCAGACUCCACUGGCGCCAUUAGCUUCACCGAGAUGACUGUGUUUCUUGGAUACAUGCAAACAAUGGAGAUUGCAGCUGCGACAAGAGAAGACAAAUUUCCCUUGGGCUCUGAAAAGAGAAGAGAUGAUUCACUAGACUUCGAAAGAGUCACUGGACCCUAUAGCUAGGAGUUCCAUAUUGAUGGGAGGAAUUGAAACCUACUGCAUCUGUUUUCCACCUAAAACAAAUUCAAGAAUUUUGAAAUUUUUGUUGCAUUAGCUUCCUAAGCAAUUAUAACAACAGAAUGAGAGUUACCGUCUAUUGUUUGUGUUUAAAAAGAGCGGUGCAUAGCUCGCCAUUUCCGCAACGUCACUGCACAAAGGAAGCAUGAAUGAUGUUUUGCUCCUUUGGUGAUUUAGUUGCGAUCAAAAGCUCGGGUAGACAAAAAAAAAAGGGUGAAGAAACAUGUUCUUUUCAAGACUAAUGAGAAAUGCAGCUUCUACAAGAGCAGCGAGAAGGCUUCUUGUUCCACCAGCAUCUUCUCCAGACACACCACAUUCACUGACAAAAGCCUGUAAACAAAGUUACACGAGGGAGCACAAAAAUGAAACCGCAGAAAAGCUUCAUUUGGUCUCUUCUCGGAGUUAUGUUUUGUACAAUCUAUGACCCCACCCUUGGACCCUUUGCGUGAAGUGCCAUCAAACUGAUGAUACAUAGAAAUUAAACUGCUAACAGAAGUAAAUAUGUGACAAAAGGAAACACUUUCUUUCAAACAUGCAUAAAAUUGUUUUUCAAAAUUUCUAUCAAGAAUGGAUGGUUUUAAGUGAAAAUCAUAGUAAACGGCGGGAUGGUCGAGGGGACGAGAUGAUCCAUCAUAAGAUGAUUUUCAUAUCAAAACAAUAAUGCAAAAAAAGAAAAAAAAAUAAUAUAUCUUUCAUGUUCUGGAGAAACAUUUUGUUUUUUAAGAUGUCACCAAUAUAAUUGAUCUUACAUUUAUAAAGUUCCAUUAAAAUAGAUAGUAACACAAAAAAAUAUUUUCAAACACUCUUACGUAAAAGGAUGAUAUACUAUACAUGAAUGUUUUUUUAACUAAACUUACUUUAAAAAAAAUCCAAAAUUAAUGAUUCAUAAUAUAAAAUAAAUGUAAUAUAUUUUCAUAUUUCAUAUAAACAUUUCCUUUCUAAGAUGUCACAGAAAAUAAUUUAAACUUAUAUUUAUAAAAUCUCACGGCACAUAUAUUAAUAGAUAAACCAUAUAUUUAAUUUAUCGUAACAAAAUUACUUGAAAUAAAUAAAAUUUAAAACCGUUAAUACAAAAGCUUACAAAAUACUCUUGUGUAAGAAAUAAAUAUUAUAUUAAUUAUGAGAAGAUCACUAUUUUUCUUAUUUUUUUCAAACUUCCUAAAAUGAAUUUACAGAGAUAAAGUGAAAUAAAAAAAAAUAUCCUCUUAUUUCAAUGACUAUUUUCUUCCUAAUACACUAUGGAAAAUUUGGUUGUACAGUCACAAAAUUGUUUCAAAUACCAUAUUAACAGCUAAAUUAUGUAUUUAAACUUUUAUAUCAAAAUAAUUCUAAGCAAAUAAUGUUAGAAAUUGGGUGAAUCAUCAAAAAUAAAAAUAAUCAUCAUAAUUUAAAUUAAAAAUAGAAUUCCUCCC